GACGUAGGGCGCGAGCGUUGUCCGGAUUUAUUGGGCGUAAAGAGCUCGUAGGCGGCUUGUUGCGUCGACCGUGAAAACCCGGGGCUCAACUUCGGGCUUGCGGUCGAUACGGGCGGGCUAGAGUUCGGUAGGGGAGACUGGAAUUCCUGGUGUAGCGGUGAAAUGCGCAGAUAUCAGGAGGAACACCGGUGGCGAAGGCGGCAUCCUGGACCAACACUGACGCUGAGGAGCGAAAGCCAGGGGAGCAAACGGG
rnacentral:rRNA from 1 species